rnacentral:rRNA from 1 species
UACAGAGGUCUCAAGCGUUGUUCGGAUUCAUUGGGCGUAAAGGGCGCGUAGGCGGUCAGUGCAAGUCAGUUGUGAAAUCUCCGGGCUUAACUCGGAAAGGUCAACUGAUACUGCUCGACUAGAGUGCGGAAGGGGCAACUGGAAUUCUUGGUGUAGCGGUGAAAUGCGUAGAUAUCAAGAGGAACACCUGCGGCGAAGGCGGGUUGCUGGGCCGACACGUGACGCUGGAUGCGCGAAAGCCAGGGGAGCGAACGGG